rnacentral:rRNA from 1 species
CCUACGGGGGGCAGCAGUGGGGAAUUUUGGACAAUGGGCGCAAGCCUGAUCCAGCCAUGCCGCGUGAGUGAAGAAGGCCUUCGGGUUGUAAAGCUCUUCGCGAGAACGGGCGGUACCGGAAGAAGAAGGACCGGCUAACUACGUGCCAGCAGCCGCGGUAAUACGUAGGGUCCAAGCGUUAAUCGGAAUUACUGGGCGUAAAGCGUGAGUAGGCGGUCUCGCAAGUCCGAUGUGAAAUCCCCGGGCUUAACCUGGGAACUGCGUUGGAAACUACGAGACUAGAGUGCGGCAGAGGGGGGUGGAAUUCCAGGUGUAGCAGUGAAAUGCGUAGAUAUCUGGAGGAACACCGAUGGCGAAGGCAGCCCCCUGGGUUAGACUGACGCUCAUACACGAAAGCGUGGGGAGCAAACAGGAUUAGAUACCCUUGUAGUC